AAAAAUGCCUCUCCACGCCAUCCGUUGGUUCACACUUGAUCCAUUUGUUUGUUGUUGGUUCACACUUGUUGCAUUCUCCACCUCAAUCUUCCAAUAACAAUAUGUACUCUCUUCCUAAGUCCCUCCAUGAUGCUCCAUCUCUUACUAAGUCAUGGAGCUCUGCACUAAAUUUGAGGUUUUUCAUAGACAACAACCCUAUAACAAUGAAUAAGGGCAAGCAUCUCUACUGAUAUUUUUAUGCUUCGUUCUCUUUGAUUGUUGCUUAUCUGUUAAAUUCAGUGCGUUAUUUCCAUGAUUCUAGAAUUUUUCUAGAUACUUUUGUGCCUAUAUGAUUAAUUGCUUGGUCAUGAAUUUUUUGUUGUAACUAUUUCUUUGAAAACCGAAAGCAUAGAAAAGUUCAAUAUUCAUAUUUCAUUUAGUAUGUUCUUUCCUUUUUUGUUUAUUUUUUUAUAGAAGUUUCUUUUUGUCUCCAAGUAGUUCUGGUGAGUUACUUCCGUGCAAGAAUACAGGCUCGAUUUGGUUCCCAUUAUUUGUUUUUCGGUAGAUUGCAUUUCAAGAAAUUUUUUUGUUUUGACUAUUUCUAUGUACAUGCAUGAAUGUUUUUGUGAUAUCUAUAUUUUAGAUUUGUUGGCAUAUGUUUUUUUACCACUGCAUUUGUAAUUUUUUAUUUG
rnacentral:lncRNA from 1 species